AAUCAAGUGCCUUAAGGGUGUUCGGUGGAUGCCUUGGCGCUGAGAGGCGAUGAAGGACGUGCUACGCUGCGAUAAGCCGUGGGGAGCUGCGAAGAAGCUUUGAUCCAUGGAUUUCCGAAUGGGGAAACCCACCUUCGAUAGCCGGAACUCCAAGACCUUUGUCGAAAGACAUUGGUGUGGGGUUCGAACAGAAAUGUGAGAUGCCUAAGCCUUUAGAUUUCGAUCGAAGAGGUUUUGGAUUUCCGGUUAUCAAGAGAAGGUAUGAGACUUCUGAAUACAUAGGAGGUUUCAAGCAAACCCAGGGAACUGAAACAUCUAAGUACCUGGAGGAAAGGACAUCAACAGAGACUCCGUUAGUAGUGGCGAGCGAACGCGGACCAGGCC
rnacentral:rRNA from 8 species